rnacentral:miRNA from 1 species
ACUGGAUUUGGAGUCGGAAGAGUGG